rnacentral:misc_RNA from 1 species
CUGGCUCUAGUCCAGUUGUCAAGGUUGAGAAAGCACAUAAUACUGAUCUUCAUUGUGUUGAUUGGAAUCCUCAUGAUGUGAACCUCAUUCUCACAGGAUCAGCUGAUAAUACUGUUCACAUGUUUGAUCGCCGAAAACUCACUUCUGGUGGGUUUGGAUCACCUAUUCAUAAAUUUGGGGGUCACAGUGCUGCUGUCCUUUGUGUACAGUGGUCUCCUGACAAGUCAUCUGUCUUUGGAAGCUCUGCAGAGGAUGGGAUUCUAAAUAUCUGGG